UUUUCUUCGGGGGAAGACCCAAUGGAAGAUGAUGCGGUCGGUGAUUUUAAGAGCGAGGAAGAAGAGAAGAGGAGGUGAGGAUGCGGACUUGAACGACGCUCUGAUUUGAUGGAAUUUCAGCGAAUGCUGAAAUUGGAAAGCGUGUAAGGGCCAGCUUGAGAGAAUUGCAGAGGUUGAAGAAUUGGAGAAUCCAAGAAAUAUUAGAUACACAAAAUGCUGCCAUUGAUGCUGACAUGCAUGACCAACAAAGGGAAGGGGCGCCUGAAGUAUCUCCUGCGGCAGACACAGAUAUUUGCUUACUUUGCCAGAGGCAAUCAUUCUGCAUCUCAGAAGAACCCAAGGGGAAGGUAAAAAAGUCAUCUGCUCCAUGAAUAGUUAUAGCUGGUAUCCAUGGUUGAUAUUGUUGGAAAACAAGGCAAGAAAAGAGAAGGAUUAUGCAUGGGUAAGAGUAGGGGUGUCAAAACCUAGCCCGA